UGGGGAAUUUUGCACAAUGGGGGAAACCCUGAUGCAGCGACGCCGCGUGAUUUAGAAGGCCUUCGGGUUGUAAAAAUCUUUUCUAUGGGAAGAAAAUGACAGUACCAUAGGAAUAAGGACCGGCUAAUUACGUGCCAGCAGCCGCGGUAAUACGUAAGGUCCGAGCGUUGUCCGGAAUCAUUGGGCGUAAAGGGUACGUAGGCGGGUAAGCAAGUUAGAAGUGAAAUCCUAUAGCUCAACUAUAGUAAGCUUUUAAAACUGCUCAUCUUGAGGUAUGGAAGGGAAAGUGGAGUUCCUAGUGUAGCGGUGAAAUGCGCAGAUAUUAGGAGGAAUACCGGUGGCGGAGGCGACUUUCUGGCCAUAACCUGACGCUGAGGUACGAAAGCGUGGGUAGCAAACAGG
rnacentral:rRNA from 1 species